GAAUAUUGGGCAAUGGCCGAGAGGCUGACCCAGCCAUGCCGCGUGCAGGAAGAAGGCCUUCUGGGUUGUAAACUGCUUUUAUCUGGGAAGAAAACGCCCUUGCGAGGGUAACUGACGGUACCAGAUGAAUAAGCACCGGCUAACUCCGUGCCAGCAGCCGCGGUAAUACGGAGGGUGCAAGCGUUGUCCGGAUGUAUUGGGUUUAAAGGGUGCGUAGGCGGCCCUGUAAGUCAGUGGUGAAAUCCCAGGGCUCAACCCUGGAACUGCCAUUGAUACUGCAGGGCUUGAGUUCGGUUAAGGCGGGCGGAACUGGUGGUGUAGCGGUGAAAUGCAUAGAUACCACCAAGAACCCCGAUUGCGUAGGCAGCUCGCUGAGCCGAAACUGACGCUGAGGCACGAAAGCGUGGGGAGCGAACAG
rnacentral:rRNA from 1 species